rfam:Triticum aestivum genome assembly, contig: Triticum_aestivum_CS42_TGACv1_scaffold_501354_6BL
UUUAUACUCCAUCCGUCCCAAAAUUCUUGUCUUAGAUUAGUCUAGAGAUAGAUGUAUCUAAUACCAAAACGUGACUUGAUACAUUCAUAUUUAGACAAAUCUAAGACAAGAAUUUUGGAACGGAGGGAGUAUUUC